rnacentral:tRNA from 1 species
GGGGGCGUAGCGCAGUCUGGUAGCGCACCUGUCUGGGGGGCAGGUGGCCGCUGGUUCAAAUCCAGUCGCCCCCA